rnacentral:tRNA from 2 species
GGAGAGCUGGCCGAGUGGUCGAAGGCGCUUGACUCGAAAUCAAGUGUGGGGCAACCCACCCGGGGUUCGAAUCCCUGGCUCUCCGCCA